GCCUUAGUGGUGUAAUGGUCAGCACACUCGACGCGUAUUCGAGAGGUCCGAGGUUCGAGUCCUGGCGAGGGCA
rnacentral:tRNA from 1 species